rnacentral:rRNA from 1 species
AGCAGCCGCGGUAAUUCCAGCUCCAAUAGCGUAUAUUAAAGUUGUUGCAGUUAAAAAGCUCGUAGUUGAAUUUCGGGAUCAAGGGAUCGGUCAUGCCUUGGUAUGUACUGGUUUUAUUGGUUCUCACCUUCUAAAGAACCAUGAUGUCAUUCAUUUGAUGUUAUGGGGAAUUAGGACUGUUACCUUGAAAAAAUUAGAGUGUUUAAAGCAAGCUUACGCUUGAAUACAUUAGCAUGGAAUAAUGAAAUAGGACAUCAGAUUCUAUUUUGUUGGUUUCUAGGAUCGAUGUAAUGAUUAAUAGGGAUAGUUGGGGGCAUUAGUAUUCAAUUGUCAGAGGUGAAAUUCUUGGAUUUAUUGAAGACUAACUACUGCGAAAGCAUUUGCCAAGGAUGUUUUCAUUAAUCAAGAACGAAAGUUAGGGGAUCGAAGACGAUCAGAUACCGUCGUAGUCUUAACCAUAAACUAUGCCGACUAGGGAUCGGAUGAUGUUAAUUUUUUAAUGACUCAUUCGGCACCUUACG